UCUCCUCCUCCUCCUCUUUUUUUUUUUUUUUUUUUUCCUCCUCCUCCGCCUCCCGCUCCUCGCUCGGGUGCGGGGCUGCGGGAUGCGAGCAGGGCUCUGCCGCCCGCCCUUUGUCUGCUCCGGGUCCCUGCCCCUGGGUCCCCGCCCCGGUCCCUGCCCCUGCUCCCCUCCCCAGCACCUGAGUCCCUGCCCCUGCUCCCGUGUCCCUGUCCCGCUGCCCCAGCCCUUGUCUCUUUGCCUCCAGCCCCGUCCCUCAGCCCCGCUCCCUGUCCCUCUGCUCCAGCCCCUGUCCUUUCGCCCCAUCCCUCUGUCCCUGUCCCAGUCCCUGUGUGCUCACCCCAGCUCUUCUUCUCCUACACCUCCUCCCCAGCCCCUGCCCUUCUGCCACAGCCCUUCCCACUGCUGCACCCACUGCUGAGGAAAAUAAUUAAACCUUAAACCUUCUCCCCAUCUCCAAAAUUACACACACAGGGGGAUGUCAGCCCCCCAGGAGUGUGUGCCCAGGAAGAGGAGCAAACCCAGCGGGGGCCACACAGGGAAAGAGCAGCUGAACGCGAAACACUGGCGCUGCCGCAGCGACUUACCAGAGGGGUCUGGAGCUCUGGAGUGGCCUUGGCCAUGCCAAGCAACCCGUUGGGAUGAAUCCUUUUUUUGUGCGCACAGCUUGUCAUAGUCAUGUAAUAAUGCAGCCUUGCCUUGCCAGUUGCAUGAACUUUGCUCUUACGUAGAGCCCAAGUCAUUUCGAAACAAAGGCCUAAAUGUGAAAUUACAGGCAACUUCCAUGCCUAUGUUAUUACGAGAUUUUAAUUUUUCUAGGGUAGGAACAAUAGCAACUGUUUGGGUGCUUUAUUUUCCAGGGCAUGGGUACAAUAUGCAGCUUCUGUAAACUGACAUCUCAUGAUUUCAUCUGAAAAUAGAAUAUUUAACUGUAUACACUUUAAUCUCUGUUUUAUUGCAUUUCAUUCAAAUGUUUUUAAACUUGUAUUUCUUUAGUGCUUAUUAACUUUAAUGAGGUAUGAAUAUAAAAGAGAAUAUUUAAAGGGUUUUCUUUUUCAAAAAGGCAUUUCUUUACAAAUGGUGUUGAUGUUAUCAAAUAGGUGAGUCUAAAACCUUAAAUUUAUUUUUGAUCCUCUAGUCAUUAAGAAAGAAUAUAAGAUUAAAAAAGAACUCAACAACAAAACAAAACAAAAACUUAAAAUCAGGUAACUAGUAUUAAUGACUUUCUGUUGUCUGGCUUAAUAACAGAAUUUAAACAAGAGUAUAUUUAAAGUGUAGGAAGUGUUUAUGAGCCAAUAUCUUAUGUAUUUUGGUUAUUUCUGCAAAAUUGCUUUAAAGAUUUAAAUCUCUUAUAACAAAUAAACAAUGUUUAAGCUUAGAUAACAAGGUACUGUGACAGAUUUUGAGCUUAGAAUUAUUCUGAGUAUGUAAUUCAUAAAAAUAAAAAUUGCUUAAGAUAAAAACUCAACAGUCAUUACAGGUCUUCAUUAUUAUAUACUCCUAAUUUGGAUGUAAUUUCCCUUAAUGAAUGAUUUGGGGCGCAACAAAAGCAUAAAAAUAUACUUGUUUUUUUUUGUUUCUGUUUCUGAUUCACUGUGCCAAUGUGCCUUAAUAACAAUGCAUGAGGAGUGUAUAAAUAUAUUUAAGGAAACUUGAUUUGACUCCAGUUAUUUACAAUUCUAAUGUUCAAUCUUGCUUUGGAAAUCUGAUUUUUGAUGUAUUUUAAAUAAACAUGUUUUAUAUAAA